rnacentral:rRNA from 1 species
UGGGGAAUUUUGGACAAUGGGGGAAACCCUGAUCCAGCCAUCCCGCGUGUGCGAUGAAGGCCUUCGGGUUGUAAAGCACUUUUGGCAGGAAAGAAACGUCAUGGGUUAAUACCCCGUGAAACUGACGGUACCUGCAGAAUAAGCACCGGCUAACUACGUGCCAGCAGCCGCGGUAAUCCGUAGGGUGCAAGCGUUAAUCGGAAUUACUGGGCGUAAAGCGUGCGCAGGCGGUUCGGAAAGAAAGAUGUGAAAUCCCAGAGCUCAACUUGGGAACUGCAUUUUUAACUACCGGACUAGAGUGUGUCAGAGGGAGGUGGAAUUCCGGGUGUAGCAGUGAAAUGCGUAGAUAUGCGGAGGAACACCGAUGGCGAAGGCAGCCUCCUGGGAUAACACUGACGAUAAUGCACGAAAGCGUGGGGAGCAAACAGG